GCCCACAUAGCGCCCAAGACCCUGGGGAGGAUACCGUGCCUAGCACUGAAAAUAACAUUUGAUCAGCACUUCUGAUGAAUCGCACGUACAAUUGCGUCCACCCUUUCAAGGUGGCGGCACGGGUUCGAAUCCCGUUGGGGGUG
rnacentral:tRNA from 1 species